AAGAAAUCCACCAGCACAGCACAUCUUUUCAGAAGGAUUUGGACCCUGACAGCCUGAUGCCAGUGCCUUGGAGCCACAUCACUGAAAGGUUUUCCUGAAGUAUCCAGAAAUAUUUACCAGGGAGCCCAUGGUCUGAACAUUUCCAGUCUGGUGAAGUAGAAGAAAUCAGAAAACGAGUCAUGGUGCAUGGAACUUAUGAAACGUUGGAAAGGAAGCUCAAAAGGAUGCUGCCCAAUUUAUGCUGAAUAGUUUUUUUCAGACAAUUCUGCAAGCUGGAGAGGACUUGGUGUUUCAUAAAGGAUUAUAGGUUUUGGUUCACUGACCUCAUCACCCACUGUGCACAUUUGAUACCAGC